rnacentral:misc_RNA from 1 species
UGCUACUGAAAUUUCAAAUUUUAAAGAUCGGUAUGUCCUUGGUGAGCAAUUGGGAUGGGGUCGAUUUGGUGUUAUAAGGGCAUGCUCAGAUAAGAUGACUGGUGAGCUUUUGGCUUGCAAAUCUAUUGCUAAAGAUAGAUUGGUCACACCUGAAGAUGUGCGGAGUGUGAAGCUUGAAAUUGAAAUAAUGACUAGGUUAUUUGGGCAUCCAAAUGUCGUAAAUCUUGAAGCAGUCUAUGAAGAGGAUAAAUAUGUGCAUCUGUUGAUGGAGUUAUGUGCAGGAGGAGAGCUUUUUCACCAGCUUGAGAAGUAUGGGAGGUUCUCAGAACAUGACGCUCAGGUUAUUUUUAGGCAUCUUAUGCAAGUGGUUCAAUACUGUCAUGAGAAUGGCAUUGUGCACAGAGAUUUGAAGCCAGAGAACGUUCUCUUAGCCACCAAGUCUUCAUCAUCACCAAUCAAAUUGGCAGACUUUGGUCUUGCAACUUACAUAAAACCAGGGUAUAAUUUGCAUGGAACGGUCGGAAGCCCAUUUUAUAUUGCCCCUGAGGUACUGGCUGGAGGAUAUAACCAGGCUGCUGAUGUGUGGAGUGCUGGUGUAAUUCUUUACAUUCUUCUUAGUGGGAUGCCUCCAUUCUGGGGAAAGACUAAAUCAAGGAUCUUUGAUGCAGUUAGGGCUGCUGAUCUUCGGUUCCCUCCUAAUCCUUGGGAUCAAAUAUCAGCGUCUGCAAAGGACUUGAUAACUGGAAUGCUUUGCGUGGAUCCUUCAAAGAGGCUCAGUACUGGUCAAGUUUUAGCUCACUCCUGGAUGCAGGAUUGUGCAGAGACAACUCAAUCUUACAAGCAGGACAACUUAGACUUUGAACAUCUAGAAACGGGAUAGAGAAAGAAUCACCA